rnacentral:rRNA from 1 species
CCUACGGGAGGCAGCAGCAGGGAAUCUUGCGCAAUGGGCGAAAGCCUGACGCAGCGACACCGCGUGGGGGAAGAAGGCCUCAGGGUUGUAAACCCCUUUUCUGUGGGAAGAGAUAGGACGGUACCACAGGAAUAAGCAUCGGCUAACUACGUGCCAGCAGCCGCGGUAAUACGUAGGAUGCAAGCGUUGUCCGGAUUUACUGGGCGUAAAGGGUGUGUAGGCGGCAUGUUAAGUCUCAUGUGAAAUCUCCCGGCUCAACUGGGAGGGGUCAUGGGAAACUGGCAAGCCGGAGGGCAGCAGAGGAAAGCGGAAUUCCGGGAGUAGUGGUGGAAUGCGUAGAUACCCGGAGGGACACCAGAGGCGAAGGCGGCUUUCUGGGCUGUACCUGACGCUGAGACACGAAAGCGUGGGGAGCGAACCGGAUUAGAUACCCGGGUAGUCCACGCCCUAAACGAUGGAUACUAGAUAUAGGGGGUAUUGACCCCUCCUGUGUCGGAGUUAACGCGAUAAGUAUCCCGCCUGGGGAGUACGGCCGCAAGGCUAAAACUCAAAGGAAUUGACGG